rnacentral:rRNA from 1 species
AGAUUGAACGCUGGCGGCAGGCCUAACACAUGCAAGUCGAGCGGUAGAGAGGUGCUUGCACCUCUUGAGAGCGGCGGACGGGUGAGUAAUGCCUAGGAAUCUGCCUAGUGGUGGGGGAUAACGUUCGGAAACGGACGCUAAUACCGCAUACGUCCUACGGGAGAAAGCGGGGGACCUUCGGGCCUCGCGCCAUUAGAUGAGCCUAGGUCGGUUAGCUAGUUGGUGAGGUAAUGGCUCACCAAGGCGACGAUCCGUAACUGGUACUGAGAGGAUGAUCAGUCACACUGGAACUGAGACACGGUCCAGACUCCUACGGGAGGCAGCAGUGGGGAAUA